rnacentral:rRNA from 1 species
UCGCCUGUUUAUCAAAAACAUGGUUUCUUGUAUAAAUAAGAAAUCUGAUCUGCCCACUGAAAGUUUUUGAAGGGCCGCAGUAUUUUGACUGUGCAAAGGUAGCAUAAUCAUUCGUCUUUUAAUUGAAGGCUGGUAUGAAUGGUUGGACGAGGCAGAUACUGUUUCAUAGUAAUUUUAGUUGAAUUUAGGUUUUAAGUAAAAAAACUUAAAUAUUAUUAAGGGACGAGAAGACCCUAUAGAGUUUAAUAUAUGAAGUAAUUAAUUUGGUUAAAGAUGAAUUUUUAAUUAUUAUGAGAUUUAUUUAAUUGGGGUGAUUGGAAAAUAAGUUUAACUUUUCUUUAAAAUUAAUUGUAUAAUUAGAAUAAAGAUCCACAUGUAGUGAUUGAAAGAUUAAAUUACCUUAGGGAUAACAGCAUAAUUUUUUUUGAGAGUUCAUAUCGAAAGAGGAGAUUGUGACCUCGAUGUUGGAUUAAGAUUAAUUUUUGGGUGUAGAUGUUCAAAGUAUUAGGUCUGUU